CUCCAUCUCGCUUUUCGUUUCUACAUCGAUUUGGUAUAUAGGAUCUUUAGCUUGAUUCUCGCUCUCGUUCUCUGCGAUUUCUAGGGUUUUUUCUUUGCAGCUCUCUAUUGCUUUCUUCAGAUAUAUUGCAAACAGCUCGGAAAAGGAAAGAAAAAGGCAUUGAAGGAAUAGUUUUUGACAGGUGCCUGCAUUUUCACGAUUGCUUCGGGAUCCGUAUUUUGAUUUCCCUUUUGGAUUAUAGCUCCAAAAAGAUCUGAAGGUUGAAGAGUUCUGAGGAAUCUGAGCUAAAAAGCAAACUUCUUUCUUAGACUUGGAACGUUUAUAAGCAUAAUUUUGUCAUCUCAGAUAUACAUGGUUGCUGAGGUGAUGACAACCUCCAGUGUUCAGGACUUCUGUGCUUGAUGGAGUGCUUUCCAACUAGCAGUGACAAGAAAACUUUGAAGAGGUGGUUUUUCAUUGAUAAAAGGGUUAGGUGAAGCGAUAUCUGAGAUUUCAUAUUGGUACCCUGUACCGCUUCACAUUUGCCAGGAUUGUAGGCUGGUAACAUAUACUUUAUUCGUCUGUCAUAAAUUGCUCUAUAAAUCUGGAUCAAAUGGACCUUAAAUCCAAUCGCACUGCUCCUGUACUCACUGACCCUGCACCCAUAAGCAAAUCAAGAUUGGGCGUGCAUUCCAGUCUGUUGCAAUACACUCCAGGUGCUGCUUUUUCGUCAAAUUUAUUUCUAACUAUCCCUAGGAAGAAAACCGGAGUACUAGAUGAUGUUCGCUCCAGUAGCUGGCUUGAUGCUAUGAAAUCCUCAUCCCCUUCUCACAAGAAAAUGACCAAAGAUUUCAAUAAUGAUUUUGCCUCUGCUGACACUGAUGUUGCCUAUCGCACCUGGACGCUUAAAUAUCCAUCAGCCCUUACAUCUUUUGAGCAAAUUGCAAACUUUGCAAAAGGCAAGAGAAUAGCAUUGUUUCUGGAUUACGAUGGGACUCUUUCACCAAUUGUUGACGACCCUGACUGUGCCUUCAUGUCUAAUGAUAUGCGUUCUGCUGUAAAGGAGGUGGCAAAAUGUUUCCCAACAGCAAUAAUUAGCGGAAGAAGCCGUGAUAAGGUAUACGAGUUUGUAGGACUAACAGAACUCUAUUAUGCGGGUAGUCACGGGAUGGACAUCAUGGGCCCUGUUAGACAAUAUGUAUCUGAUGAUCAGCCUAAUUAUAUGAGGUCUACUGACAAGCAGGGCAAGGAAGUUAAUUUGUUCCAACCAGCUAGUGAAUUUUUACCCAUGAUUGAUGAGGUUUAUAGUUCCCUUGUUGAUAGUACCAAAGACAUUAAAGGAGCAAAAGUUGAAAACAACAAGUUCUGUGUAUCUGUUCAUUACCGUAAUGUAGAUGAUAAGAGUUGGACAUCAGUUGCACAGUGUGUCUAUGAUGUCAUAAAAAACUAUCCACGCCUGCGAUUGACUCAUGGGAGGAAGGUUUUAGA
rnacentral:misc_RNA from 1 species